CCUACGGGAGGCAGCAGUGAGGAAUAUUGGUCAAUGGGCGCGAGCCUGAACCAGCCAAGUAGCGUGAAGGAUGACUGCCCUACGGAUUGUAAACUUCUUUUCUCAGGGACGAAGCAAGUGACGGUAUCUGCGGAAUAAGCCACGGUAAACAACGUGCCAGCAGCCGCGGUAAUACGCAGGUGGCAAGCGUUAUCCGGAUGUACGGGGUGUAAAGGGCGUGUAGGCGGGGACGCAAGUAGGAUGUAAAAACCACGGGCUCAACCUGUGGCCUGCAUUUGAAACUGGAUUUCUUGAGUACUGGAGAGGCAGACGGAAUGCGUGGUGUAGCGGUGAAAUGCGUAGAUAGUAGGAAGAACGCCAGUGGCGAAGGCGGUCUGCUGGACAGCAACUGACGCUGAGGCGCGAAAGCGUGGGGAGCAAACAGGAUUAGAUACCCCGGUAGUC
rnacentral:rRNA from 1 species